CCCGCCCCCAGCCCCGCGCCGCCGCUGCCGCCUCAGCCCAACAUGGCGAUGCACAACAAGACGGCGCCGCCGCAGAUCCCGGACACCCGGCGGGAGCUGGCGGAGCUGGUGAAGCGGAAGCAGGAGCUGGCGGAAACACUUGCAAACUUGGAGAGACAGAUCUAUGCUUUUGAAGGAAGCUACCUGGAAGACACUCAGAUGUAUGGCAAUAUUAUUCGUGGCUGGGAUCGUUAUCUGACCAACCAAAAAAACUCCAAUAGCAAAAACGAUAGGAGGAACCGGAAGUUUAAGGAAGCUGAACGACUCUUCAGCAAAUCUUCUGUUACUUCGGCAGCUGCAGUAAGUGCAUUGGCAGGAGUUCAGGACCAGCUCAUUGAAAAGAGGGAGCCAGGCAGUGGCACCGAAAGCGACACUUCUCCAGACUUCCAUAAUCAGGAGAACGAGCCUACCCAGGAGGACCCUGAGGAUCUGGACGGGUCUGUGCAGGGAGUGAAACCUCAGAAGGCUGCCUCCUCUACCUCCUCAGGAAGUCAUCACAGCAGCCACAAAAAAAGGAAGAAUAAAAACCGGCACAGCCCGUCUGGCAUGUUUGAUUAUGACUUUGAGUAUGUAUAUUAGGUUAGGCUGGGAAGUUUUUUUUAAAAACAGAAAAACGUGAUGGAGGAUUGAUUUGAAGUUAAACAAAAAGCCCCGAGCUGACUAUUAGAAGACUCAGUAGCAGAAGUUUCCAGGCUGUAGAGCUCUGCCUCCCCUCUCUGACCUCACAGAGAUAAUGUCCCUCACCUGACUGUGUGGCCAUCCUCCUCUGCUCUCCCAGACCCAGUGCCUGUGACUCUGAGUAGUUUGUUCUAAGUGUGGUGACAAACACGUCAUUUCUGUGAGAUAUCAAAUCACUUGCUCUGUGCCAUUGUUAGAACUGCAGGAAGACCAGUACACGGUCGCAAUCCCAGCGAGUGGCUCACUGUGCAUUUCUCCCUCCUUAGAAUGAAUGUCUCCCCCCAGUCUGGCUGGCACCAGCUGCACCUGUGACCCACGAGAAGCGCACCCUCUGUUGGGUUAAUGCGGACAGGAGAACAGACAAGUCAAUUUCACAUGGAGGCUGCAAAUGUCUGCCAUUCUCUUGUUUUGUUUUGUGUCUUGUUGUUUUUCUAUUGUUGUUUUUACCAUCUUAUUUUCUUUUGGGACAUUUUAUAAUGCCUUUGUACAACUCACACCUUCCUGAUGACGUAUGUGAUCAUCUGCUUCAUGCAGGUGUUGGUAUUCUUAUCUGAAGCAAAUGUGGCUUUCCCUGAGUAAAUCGGGGAACUUGGCUCUUUUAGUUUGUGCUUUUUGCAGGGGUGGGGGAGAUAAAGUGUGUUUAUUUAAUAGUUAGAUAGCCUAGAUCUUUCUAAGUUGGAAGCAGUUUUAUGUUCAAGGGACAGGAAAAGCUGAAAAACAUACAUCAUACAUUUAAAUCCAUCCUCUUAAAAGAUAUUUUAAUUCUUUUGUAUAAAUAAAAUUUCACAGGCUUUGA